rnacentral:rRNA from 1 species
GACGAACGCUGGCGGCGUGCUUAACACAUGCAAGUCGAACGGAAAGGCCCUGCUUUUGUGGGGUGCUCGAGUGGCGAACGGGUGAGUAACACGUGAGUAACCUGCCCUUGACUGUGGGAUAACUUCAGGAAACUGGGGCUAAUACCGGAUAGGAGCUCCUGCAGCAUGGUGGGGGUUGGAAAGUUUCGGCGGUUGGGGAUGGACUCGCGGCUUAUCAGCUUGUUGGUGGGGUAGUGGCUUACCAAGGCUUUGACGGGUAGCCGGCCUGAGAGGGUGACCGGCCACAUUGGGACUGAGAUACGGCCCAGACUCCUACGGGAGGCAGCAGUGGGGAAUAUUGCACAAUGGGCGGAAGCCUGAUGCAGCAACGCCGCGUGCGGGAUGACGGCCUUCGGGUUGUAAACCGCUUUCGCCUGUGACGAAGCGUGAGUGACGGUAAUGGGUAAAGAAGCACCGGCUAACUACGUG